AGCGUUGUCCGGAUUUAUUGGGCGUAAAGCGAGCGCAGGCGGUUUCUUAAGUCUGAUGUGAAAGCCUUCGGCUUAACCGGAGAAGUGCAUCGGAAACUGGGAGACUUGAGUGCAGAAGAGGACAGUGGAACUCCAUGUGUAGCGGUGGAAUGCGUAGAUAUAUGGAAGAACACCAGUGGCGAAGGCGGCUGUCUAGUCUGUAACUGACGCUGAGGCUCGAAAGCAUGGGUAGCAAACAGGAUUAGAUACCCUGGUAGUCCAUGCCGUAAACGAUGAGUGCUAGGUGUUGGAGGGUUUCCGCCCUUCAGUGCCGCAGCUAACGCAUUAAGCACUCCGCCUGGGGAGUACGACCGCAAGGUUGAAACUCAAAGGAAUUGACGGGGGCCCGCACAAGCGGUGGAGCAUGUGGUUUAAUUCGAAGCUACGCGAAGAACCUUACCAGGUCUUGACAUCUUCUGCCAAUCUUAGAGAUAAGACGUUCCCUUCGGGGACAGAAUGACAGGUGGUGCAUGGUUGUCGUCAGCUCGUGUCGUGAGAUGUUGGGUUAAGUCCCGCAACGAGCGCAACCCUUAUUAUCAGUUGCCAGCAUUCAGUUGGGCACUCUGGUGAGACUGCCGGUGACAAACCGGAGGAAGGUGGGGAUGACGUCAAAUCAUCAUGCCCCUUAUGACCUGGGCUACACACGUGCUACAAUGGACGGUACAACGAGUUGCGAAGUCGUGAGGCCAAGCUAAUCUCUUAAAGCCGUUCUCAGUUCGGAUUGUAGGCUGCAACUCGCCUACAUGAAGUUGGAAUCGCUAGUAAUCGCGGAUCAGCAUGCCGCGGUGAAUACGUUCCCGGGCCUUGUACACACCGCCCGUCACACCAUGAGAGUUUGUAACACCCAAAGCCGGUGAGAUAACCUUCGGGAGUCAGCCGUCUAAGGUGGGACAGAUGAUUAGGGUGAAGUCGUAACAAGGUAGCCGUAGGAGAACCUGCGGCUGGAUCACCUCCUUUCUAAGGAA
rnacentral:rRNA from 1 species